rnacentral:rRNA from 1 species
UGAGGAAUUUUCCGCAAUGGGCGAAAGCCUGACGGAGCAAUACCGCGUGAAGGAAGACGGUUCGUGGAUCUUAAACUUCUUUUCUCAAGGAAGAACCCGUGACGGUACUUGAGGAAUAAGCACCGGCUAACUCUGUGCCAGCAGCCGCGGUAAUACAGAGGGUGCAAGCAUUGUCCGGAAUGAUUGGGCGUAAAGCGUCUGUAGGUGGUUUUUAAAGUCUACUGUCAAAUCCCAGAGCUCAACUUUGGACAGGCAUUAGAGAACUUAAAAGCUAGAGUAUGGUAGGGGUCGAGGGAAUUCCUUGUGGAGCGGUGAAAUGCACAGAGAUAAGGAAGAACACCAGUGGCGAAGGCGCUCGACUGGGCCAUGACUGACACUGAGAGACGAUAGCUGGGGGAGCGAAUAGG